rnacentral:ncRNA from 1 species
GGGGGUAACCCUUAGAGCCCCCACCGCAAUCGUGUUAAUAGUCACGCUUUUGGCCGAGCUUGGCGGUUAGUGAAUC